GUGGUAAUGCCGGAUGCUCCGGUUGGAUGCAUGUCCUUCCGGGAAAGAUUCUAUCGGUAUGGGAUGGGGUCGCGUCCUAUCAGCUUGAUGGCGGGGUAACGGCCCACCAUGGCUUCGACGGGUAGCCGGCCUGAGAGGGCGACCGGCCACAUUGGGACUGAGAUACGGCCCAGACUCCUACGGGAGGCAGCAGUGGGGAAUAUUGCACAAUGGGCGCAAGCCUGAUGCAGCGACGCCGCGUGCGGGAUGGAGGCCUUCGGGUUGUAAACCGCUUUUGAUCGGGAGCAAGCCCUUCGGGGUGAGUGUACCUUUCGAAUAAGCACCGGCUAACUACGUGCCAGCAGCCGCGGUAAUACGUAGGGUGCAAGCGUUAUCCGGAAUUAUUGGGCGUAAAGGGCUCGUAGGCGGUUCGUCGCGUCCGGUGUGAAAGCCCAUCGCUUAACGGUGGGUCUGCGCCGGGUACGGGCGGGCUGGAGUGCGGUAGGGGAGACUGGAAUUCCCGGUGUAACGGUGGAAUGUGUAGAUAUCGG
rnacentral:rRNA from 1 species